UACGGAGGAUCCAAGCGUUAUCCGGAAUCAUUGGGUUUAAAGGGUCCGUAGGCGGUUUAGUAAGUCAGUGGUGAAAGCCCAUCGCUCAACGGUGGAACGGCCAUUGAUACUGCUAGACUUGAAUUAUUAGGAAGUAACUAGAAUAUGUAGUGUAGCGGUGAAAUGCUUAGAGAUUACAUGGAAUACCAAUUGCGAAGGCAGGUUACUACUAAUAUAUUGACGCUGAUGGACGAAAGCGUGGGUAGCGAACAGG
rnacentral:rRNA from 2 species